rnacentral:rRNA from 1 species
CUGGCGGUAGGCCUAACACGUGCAAGUCGAACGGCAGCACAGGAGAGCUUGCUCUCUGGGUGGCAAGUGGCGGACGGGUGAGGAAUACAUCGGAAUCUACCUUUUCGUGGGGGAUAACGUAGGGAAACUUACGCUAAUACCGCAUACGACCUACGGGUGAAAGUGGGGGACCGCAAGGCCUCACGCGAUUAGAUGAGCCGAUGUCCGAUUAGCUAGUUGGCGGGGUAAUGGCCCACCAAGGCGACGAUCGGUAGCUGGUCUGAGAGGAUGAUCAGCCACACUGGAACUGAGGCACGGUCCAGACUCCUACGGGAGGCAGCAGUGGGGAAUAUUGGACAAUGGGCGCAAGCCUGAUCCAGCCAUACCGCGUGGGUGAAGAAGGCCUUCGGGUUGUAAAGCCCUUUUGUUGGGAAAGAAAUCCUGUCGAUUAAUACUCGGUGGGGAUGACGGUACCCAAAGAAUAAGCACCGGCUAACUUCGUGCCAGCAGCCGCGGUAAUACGAAGGGUGCAAGCGUUACUCGGAAUUACUGGGCGUAAAGCGUGCGUAGGUGGUGGUUUAAGUCUGCUG